AGAAGAAGCAUUUCUUCUUUUUGAAAGUCGGUUUCGGCUGACACUUACAGAUGAGCCCGCGGCGCAUUAGCUAGUUGGUGAGGUAACGGCUCACCAAGGCGACGAUGCGUAGCCGACCUGAGAGGGUGAUCGGCCACACUGGGACUGAGACACGGCCCAGACUCGCUACGGGAGGCAGCAGUAGGGAAUCUUCGGCAAUGGGCGAAAGCUCUGACCGAGCAACGCCGCGUGAGCGAUGAAGGCCUUCGGGUCGUAAAGCUCUGUUGUUAGAGAAGAACAAGUACGAGAGUAACUGCUCGUACCUUGACGGUACCUAACCAGAAAGCCACGGCUAACUACGUGCCAGCAGCCGCGGUAAUACGUAGGUGGCAAGCGUUAUCCGGAAUUAUUGGGCGUAAAGCGCGCGCAGGCGGUCUCUUAAGUCUGAUGUGAAAGCCCACGGCUCAACCGUGGAGGGUCAUUGGAAACUGGGAGACUUGAGUGCAGGAGAGAAAAGUGGAAUUCCACGUGUAGCGGGUGAAAUGCGUAGAGAUGUGGAGGAACACCAGUGGCGAAAGCGGCUUUUUGGCCUGUAACUGACGCUGAGGCGCGAAAGCGUGGGGGAGCAAACAGGAUUAGAUACCCUGGUAGUCCACGCCGUAAACGAUGAGUGCUAGGUGUUGGGGGGGUUCCACCCUCAGUGCUGAAAGUUAACACAUUAAGCA
rnacentral:rRNA from 1 species